rnacentral:rRNA from 1 species
GACGAACGCUGGCGGCGUGCCUAAUACAUGCAAGUAGAACGCUGAAGGAGGAGCUUGCUUCUCUGGAUGAGUUGCGAACGGGUGAGUAACGCGUAGGUAACCUGCCUGGUAGCGGGGGAUAACUAUUGGAAACGAUAGCUAAUACCGCAUAAGAGUAGAUGUUGCAUGACAUUUACUUAAAAGGUGCAAUUGCAUCACUACCAGAUGGACCUGCGUUGUAUUAGCUAGUUGGUGAGGUAACGGCUCACCAAGGCAACGAUACAUAGCCGACCGGAGAGGGUGAUCGGCCACACUGGGACUGGGACACGGCCCAGACUCCUACGGGAGGCAGCAGUAGGGAAUCUUCGGCAAUGGCCGGAAGUCUGACCGAGCAACGCCGCGUGAGUGAAGAAGGUUUUCGGAUCGUAAAGCUCUGUUGUAAGAGAAGAACGAGUGUGAGAGUGGAAAGUUCACACUGUGACGGUAUCUUACCAGAAAGGGACGGCUAACUACGUG